CAGGGUUGUGCUACUGUAAUGUCUCCAUGCGUCACUUGGACUAAAUCUCUCUAAUUCCAUUGAUUAGAGUCACAAAUGGGUUAUAAUAUGUUAAGUUCCAAUUUUUUUCUGACUUGAUUGGAACCUGCUUCUCUGUGAGGCUAUUUUUGUAAUGAGUUUUUUGUACUUAAUUUAACUGCCGCGGUCUUUGGUGGGGGUGGGAAGGGAUUUUGUUCUUUUGUUGUUUAUUGUUAAUGCUCUCCUAUGCCAGCCUGUCAUUGUUCCAGUUGUUUGAAAAAACAAAACAAAACAAAACAAAACAAAAAAGGAUGCAUUCAUUGUCUGGGUUCUCGAGUCACCUUAUGGCUGUCUAAAAAUGUCACUGUUCCGAUUGCGGUCUCUGCAGCCUUAUUUGAGUGUUGCCUUAGACUGUCUGACUGGACAAAUAAACUCUCUUUGCCCUAUGUUAACAAA
rnacentral:sRNA from 1 species